CCCUUAGAUGUUCUGGGCUGCACGCGCGCUACACUGAUGCGAUCAACAAGUUUUUCCUAUGUCGAUAGACACGGGUAUUCUUUUGAACUCGCAUCGUGAUGGGGAUAGAUUAUUGUAAUUAUUAAUCUUCAACGAGGAAUUCCUAGUAGGUGCAAAUCAUCAGUUUGCAUCGAUUACGUCCCUGCCCUUUGUACACACCGCCCGUCGCUGCUACCGAUUGGUUGAUCUGGUGAAUUAUUCGGACUGCCGGCUGAAGGGGUUUCCUCAUCUGCCAGCGGAAAGUCUUGUUAACCCUAUCAACUAGAGGAAGCAGAAGUCGUAACA
rnacentral:rRNA from 1 species